rnacentral:rRNA from 1 species
AGCGAACGCUGGCGGCAGGCUUAACACAUGCAAGUCGAGCGGGCAUCCUUGUGGUGUCAGCGGCAGACGGGUGAGUAACGCGUGGGAACGUGCCCUUCGGUUCGGAAUAACUCAGGGAAACUUGAGCUAAUACCGGAUACGCCCUUUUGGGGAAAGGCUUGACUGCCGAAGGAUCGGCCCGCGUCUGAUUAGCUGGUUGGUGAGGUUACGGCUCACCAAGGCGACGAUCAGUAGCUGGUCUGAGAGGAUGAUCAGCCACACUGGGACUGAGACACGGCCCAGACUCCUACGGGAGGCAGCAGUGGGGAAUAUUGGACAAUGGGGGCAACCCUGAUCCAGCCACGCCGCGUGAGUGAUGACGGCCUUAGGGUUGUAAAGCUCUUUUCUCCGGGACGAUAAUGACGGUACCGGAGGAAUAAGCCCCGGCUAACUUCGUGCCAGCCGCCGCCGUAAAAC